CAGGUUUUGGGGCUCCCUCAUGGGUCGCAGCCAAUAGAAGAACUCUGCUGGAAUGACGUCAUUGGCAAAUUAUGCUUGGCCCCUCUCCUUGUGCCGGCCAUGGCUUUCACAGUAUUCCUUUUGGUGCUUGUGCAAAGCAUCAUCCAGUCCCUGCAGGCGGUCGGGGAGGGGCUGCACAAGACUCAGUGAGCUUGGAGGUCUUUUCCAAGUUGAAGGACUCUUGGAUUCUGUGAUCGUGUGCUGGAUUCAGUUGGGUCCGUGUUAGCAGCAUUAGUUUGCUCCCAAAGUUUCCUUGCUGUCAGCUCUUGUGGCCUAAGGUUUGAGCUCCUUUAGCUCCUUGUGCUGAGCUGCUGAUGGGAAACGAGAGGCCUCUGCGAGUAGAUUCAUGGUGUUCCCUGUAGAACAGUGAGGGGGAAGGUGUUGUCACGUGGGAAGAGGAGUACUGUUUGUGUGUGGCCUCCUAUGUGGCCUUGGCGCCUUUGAGGGGCUUGAAGGAGAAAAGAGCUUUGUUCAAGUGAGAAGUGAAA